rnacentral:lncRNA from 1 species
AAGUAAUUUCACAAAAAGUAAAAUGUGAUCAUGUAUUUUUCAGCAUUCAUUUGAACAUUCAUAUUAUAAUAAUAAAGUAUUGGAUCGUCAUUGAAUACAAAAUAUUGUGAUUAUUAUUUUGCAAUGAUGCAGGUAAAGGCAGUGGUUUCAUCACAGUCACUGUCUAGCAUUAUUAUAAGAAUGAAGGUAAAUAACAAUAAACAGAGAGGAGAGUUAAAAGUGGUUCCCUCUGUGGAGCAGGACUGAAAGGAUGCUGUUUGUGUUAUUCUUGGUCUGUUUUAAUAGAAGCCUUUUAAUAAUGCUUAUCUUUUUAAUGAAAUGUCUAUAUUACUCUGAUAAAAAUUUGUUUUAGUGAAUCUACAAAACUUCAGAUCACAGUGGCUAACUAUUAAAUAAAUGGAACAGACAGUGCAGAUGAUCAGCCUUGUAGAACUCAGCAGCCAUACAGCCCUGUCGUCAGAAAAUAUUAAUAUGUUUUGCAGAUGAGAAAUGAUGAGAAGUUUUCUGUGUGGGAUCCUUGGGUGUUGAUGGAGGAGACCAGCCAUCAGGCAGGUGGUGACAGGCCUUAAACAUCAUGUUGGAGUGGGGUGGCAUGUUACCUCCUCACCACCCUGGAGGAUCCCACAUGGGCUUUUUUAUGCUUUUUCUCAUUAAAAUUUUAAAUGUACAUACCUUUGACUUAAUAAUGUUACUUCUAUAAAUCGAACCUGUAAAUAAAUGCGCAUUGUACUUUUCAA